rnacentral:rRNA from 1 species
UACAGAGGUCUCGAGCGUUAGGCGGAAUCACUGGGCUUAAAGCGUGUGUAGGCGGAUCGUUAAGUACCUUGUGAAAUCCCACGGCUUAACCGUGGAACUGCUUGGUAUACUGGCGGUCUUGAGCCAGCUAGGGGCUACCGGAACAAAUGGUGGAGCGGUGAAAUGCGUAGAGAUCGGGAGGAACACCAGUGGCGAAGGCGGCUACCUGGACCAGCACUGACACUGAAGCACGAAAGCGUGGGGAGCAAACAGG